UACGUAGGUGGCAAGCGUUGUCCGGCAUUAUUGGGCGUAAAGCGCGCGCAGGCGGUUCUUUAAGUCUGAUGUGAAAGCCCACGGCUCAACCGUGGAGGGUCAUUGGAAACUGGAGAACUUGAGUACAGAAGAGGAAAGCGGAAUUCCACGUGUAGCGGUGAAAUGCGUAGAGAUGUGGAGGAACACCAGUGGCGAAGGCGACUUUCUGGCCUAUAACUGACGCUGAGGCGCGAAAGCGUGGGGAGCAAACAGG
rnacentral:rRNA from 1 species